rnacentral:lncRNA from 1 species
UCAAACGCCCUACAGAGUUCAGACCAUCCCCGCUACUCCCACGGCCACCAUCAGAAUCCAGUCCGCCGGUAUGGUGAUGAAGAUGAAGACAAUGUUGAGGGUUGUUAUGAUGCUGUUUGUGGUAGGGAUUUGCUGCGUUGAGGCUGGGUCGCAGCAGACGUCUCCUUCGCCGGCGGUGGACUGCUCGAGUCUGGUACUGAACAUGGCGGACUGCCUGUCGUAUGUGUCGAACGGGAGCACCGCGUCGAAGCCGGAGGGGACGUGCUGCACAGGGCUGAAGACGGUGCUGAAGGCGGACGCGGAGUGUCUGUGUGAGGCCUUCAAGAGCAGUGCGCAGUAUGGGGUGGUUUUGAACGUUACCAAGGCUAUCUAUCUCCCUACUGCCUGCCGCGUCUCUGCUCCUUCUGUCAGUAACUGUGGACGUGAGUCAUCUCUGUUUGUCUUUCUCUACCUAUUUUUGGCUUUUUCCUUUCGUCCUGUUUGGUUUCAAGGAAAAUUAGUACUUGAGAAUUUUUGCCAGAAAUUUUUUGUUACUGACUGCUCUUGUGGGUUUUCCUGACAAUGAUCUUCUUGUAUUUUUUUGUUUGGCAGUUUCGAUCACUCCUGCUGGUUCUCCUGGUACGUUAUGUCUAUAUAUAUUUGAUGACCUUAGAAAAACUGAUAUUUAUUUGCUUAUUUGAUUCCAAUACAAAGCAAAUAAUUAUCAUUUUUUAUGUUUUUUUUUUCCCUUUCUUUUGAACUCUUAGUAGGUAGAAAUGAAAUCAAUCAAUAGUUGCUUUGUUUGGUUGCCGAGAAAUACUUGAUGUUACCCCAUUAUUAUAUUGUGGGUUUUAGAUCUAUGCUUAUCCAUUAUUUAGGAGAUUCAAACCUCCUCAGAACUUUUAUUUUUAGAAUUGAACUGAAGAUUCUCUCUCUUUCUAACAUAGAAAAGAAAAUUCACUAAUGCCUCAAAAUUUGAUUUUGUUUGCAGUGGAAAUCCAAUCUCCAGAAGCAUCUCCAUCAUCAGAAGCCACAGCACCUGCCUCGCCCACAUCCGCCAGUGAGAUAGCUAUGGCGCCGGCGCCGGCGCCGGGAAGCUCGUCUUCUUCUAUGGUGU